CCUACGGGUGGCAGCAGUGAGGAAUAUUGGUCAAUGGACGCAAGUCUGAACCAGCCAUGCCGCGUGCAGGAAGACGGCUCUAUGAGUUGUAAACUGCUUUUGUACGAGGGUAAACUCAGAUACGUGUAUCUUUCUACACGUAUCGUACGAAUAAGGAUCGGCUAACUCCGUGCCAGCAGCCGCGGUAAGACGGAGGAUUCAAGCGUUAUCCGGAUUGGUUGGGUUGAAAGGGUGCGUAUGCGGUCGGAUAAGUUAGAGGUGAAAUCCCGAGGCUCAACUUCGGAAUUGCCUUGGAUACUUUUCGGCUAGAGAGUAGUUGCGGUAGGCGGAAUGUAUGGUGUAGCGGUGAAAUGCUUAGAGAUCAUACAGAACACCGAUUGCGAAGGCAGCUUACCAAGCUACUUCUGACGUUGAGGCACGAAAGCGUGGGGAGCAAACAGGAUUAGAUACCCCAGUAGUC
rnacentral:rRNA from 1 species